rnacentral:rRNA from 1 species
UCGAACGAAGUAGCAAUACUUAGUGGCAGACGGGUGAGUAACAUGUGGGUAUCUACCCUUUGGCCUGGAAUAACACGAGGAAACUUGUGCUAAUACCGGAUAAGUCUUUACGGAGAAAGCUUUAUGCACCAUUGGAUGAGCCCGCACUUGAUUAGUUUGUUGGUAGGGUAAUGGCCUACCAAGACUAUGAUCAAUAGCUGAUUUGAGAGGAUGAUCAGCCACAUUGGGACUGAGACACGGCCCAAACUCCUACGGGAGGCAGCAGUGGGGAAUCUUGCACAAUGGAGGAAACUCUGAUGCAGCGAUGCCGCGUGAGUGAAGAAGGCCCUUGGGUUGUAAAGCUCUUUCGUCGGGGAAGAAAAUGACUGUACCCGAAUAAGAAGGUCCGGC